GUGACCAAGGCCAGGGGAAAACCCCCAACUCUUCUUCCACAAAUUGAUCAAAUUGAAGGGGCAAUUGGGGUUGUUCUUGGUGCAUGAACUAAGAAAAUCGAUCAUCCACACUUGACUAACAUAAGGCGACUCGAGCGAGAAGGCGGGUGAUAAAGCCGGGAGCGAUAUACGACUUAAAGGAAAGAUCAAAGGUAAACUUUGGUAAGCUUACGGAUGAAGAUCAAGCUCGUUGAAGGACCGAACACAAUCAAGAUGCAAGCUUCCGCACGUUGUUUCGUCGUCGGUUUAAAUGACGAACUCACAUACAUAUGUUGUAUUAUUUUAAAAAUUGUAAAAGUUUUAAAUAAAGCCGUAUUUUCAUAAGUACGUGUA